AGUGAACGCUGGCGGUAGGCCUAACACAUGCAAGUCGAACGGCAGCACAGUAAGAGCUUGCUCUUACGGGUGGCGAGUGGCAGACGGAUGAGGAAUACAUCGGAAUCUACUUUUUCGUGGGGGAUAACGUAGGGAAACUUACGCUAAUACCGCAUACGACCUACGGGUGAAAGCAGGGGAUCUUCGGACCUUGCGCGAUUGAAUGAGCCGAUGUCGGAUUAGCUAGUUGGCGGGGUAAAGGCCCACCAAGGCGACGAUCCGUAGCUGGUCUGAGAGGAUGAUCAGCCACACUGGAACUGAGACACGGUCCAGACUCCUACGGGAGGCAGCAGUGGGGAAUAUUGGACAAUGGGCGCAAGCCUGAUCCAGCCAUACCGCGUGGGUGAAGAAGGCCUUCGGGUUGUAAAGCCCUUUUGUUGGGAAAGAAAAGCAGCAGGUUAAUACCCCGCUGUUCUGACGGUACCCAAAGAAUAAGCACCGGCUAACUUCGUG
rnacentral:rRNA from 1 species